UAUUUGAAUUUCGCUCAAGAGUAAAGUACUUUUUUUCGUAAAAUGAAUAACAAAAAAGUUUUUCAUAUGUUGCCAACUUAAAUAGACACGUUGUAUGUGGCCACAAAGUACAGAACGCAUCAACGCGUUUAUUAAUUAUUCGAGUUUAUAAAUAUUAUAAGAGCUCUGGUACAAUAUUUAUAGCAGGUGCAUAAGAAAGUUUGUUUAUUCGUAUAUAGGAAUCGGUCUGACAGCUAUUAUAAACAUUCUUCCAACUAAACAUACCCAGUUACAAGAGCUAACAUGUGUUAGCAAAUAUUUAAUGCUUGUAUCAACCUUCUACCAUUACUAAUGAAACUUGCUAGAAAUAUAUACUAAAGAUAUUAUAAAGGUAGAAAUUUAAGUCAAAUUGUGCGCGCUUAAAAUGAAAACUAAUAUUCACACAUAAAUAUACAGCGUGUCUGCUUAAGUUGACCACAUAAUGUGAACUUUUUUAUUAUUAAUUUUACGAACAAAAGUCAUUUUUUAUACAAAUUUCUGCAUACAAACCUAAUAUCCAACCAUCAGAUAAAAUUUUAUUAAUCCUAUACGAGGUAUGUCAACAUAUUUGAAUUUCGCUCAAGAGUAAAGUACUUUUUUUUCGUAAAAUGAAUAACAAGAAAGUUUUUCAUAUGUUGCCAACUUAAGUAGACACGUUGUAUGUGGCCACAAAUUACAGAACGCAUCAACGCGUUUAUUAAUUAUUCGAGCUUAUAAAUAUUAUAAGAGUUCUGGUACAAUAUUUAUCGCAGGUGCAUAAGAAAGUUUGUUUAUUCGUAUAUAGGAAUCGGUCUGACAGCUAUUAUAAACAUUCUUUCAACUAAACAAACCCAGUUACAAGAGCUAACAUGUGUCAGCAAAUAUUUAAUGCUUGUAUCAACCUUCUACCAUUACCAAUGAAACUUGCUAGAAAUAUAUACUAAAGAUAUUAUAAAGGUAGAAAUUUAAGUCAAACUGUGUGCGCGCUUAAAAUGAAAACUAAUAUUCACACAGAAAUAUACAGCGUGUCUGCUAAGUUGACCACAUAAUGGGAACUUUUUUAUUAUUAAUUUUACGAACAAAUGUUAUUCUUUAUACAAAUUUCUGCAUACAAACCUAAUAUCCAACCAUCAGAUAAAAUUUUAUUAAUCCUAUACGAGGUAUGUCAACAUAUUUGAAUUUCGCUCAAGAGUAAAAUUUAUAAUAAAAAAGUUUUUUAUAUGUUGCCAACUUAAGUAGACACGUUGUAUGUGGCCACAAAUUACAGAACGCAUCAACGCGUUUAUUAAUUAUUCGAGCUUAUAAAUAUUAUAAGAGCUCUGGUACAAUAUUCAUCCCAGGUGCAUAAGAAAUUUUGUUUAUUCGUUAUGUGUUACAUGUUUUUGUUAAAUUUUGUAUAUGUAACUCAAAGAAAACAUCUUGAUUUUUAUACUAUUAGAAAUACUGAUAUAUUUAAUUAAAUUAUUAAAAAUAAAAUUAGAAAAUAACUUCAUAGGUAUUCUUUAAAUAAUUUCGUCGUUUAUUCUAGUGAUAUGUUUCUGGGCUAACUUGGAGUUGUAAUCGUGUAAUAUUGUCAAUAGUACAUUAUUUCACGGUUUUUGCUUUAAAUUUUAAAUAACCCCUUGGAUUGACAUUAAAUUUGGCAUACGCAUAGCUUACAUAUCAAAGAAAAAAAGUGAUAUUGUGCCGAUGUGUGCUUUUGCCCUGGAAGUGACUUUCACCCCCCAUUGGGGGUGAAAAAAUAUAUGUCCAAAAUAAGUCAGAAAAUGGAUAAACUGACUAAUUUUAAGUAGCUUUUGUUCUAUAGAGCUUGUGCGCCAAGUCAACACUUUUCGAGUUAUUUGCGAGUGAAUAUGUUCAUUUUUCAACAAAAUAUCCUAAAAAUUAAGCACUUUUUGGGGAAAAUCAAUUAUAACUUUUUUAAAGUGCUUAAAAAAAGCUGUAUUUCUGUUUUUAUAAAAAGUUCCUAGAAUCAAAUUUAAGCAAGUUACGCUCAAAAUAAAGUUGGUCCCUUUGGUUUUGGCAAAAAAAAUUGGGAAGACCACCCCCUAAUUAGCAACUUAAAUGAAAUUAAUCGUUACCGCUCCACGAAUUGUUUUACUUAUGUUGUGUUUAUAUGAUCUGUAAGUUUUAUCGAUUCAAAGUGCUUAUUUUUGAAAAAAUCUGGUUUUAAAGUAAAAUUUUAAAAAAUUUAAAUUUUAAAAUAUAUGCUUUUUUAGGAAAAAUAUCAAUUUUUUAUGAAAAAUAUCCAUUUCUGGACUUCCUUUGGACGUAUAUUUCUUCACCUCCAAGAGGGAGUGAAAACCACCCCAGAGCAAAAGCACACAUCGGCACAAUAUCACUUUUUUUCUGUGACUUGUUAGCUAUGGGUGUGCCAAAUUUCAUGUCAAUCCAAGCGGUUCUUUAAAAUUUAGAGGUUUUGCAAUAUUUUACCGUUAAAGAACGUACUACAACCCAUAUAUCAAUGUUAUUAAAAAUAGUAGUUAUUGUUGACACUACAGCUCAUUGAUUAUACAUGGAAUGUUAUGUAGGUACAGAGAGUGACUAAAUUUUUGCAGACAAAAUAAAAGGAAUUUUAUACAUAUUGUGUAACAAUUUUAGGAUUAUUUAUCCAUAGUUUUACCAGAAUUAUCCAUAUUAUUUUUUCUGUUUAAUAUGUUGUUAAAUAUCUUCCUAUCUAAAUUCUCUUUCAGAUUAUUGUUUUGUACCUUUGACUUUUUUUGUUAACAUCGAUUAGGUAGUGGUUAUUUUUUUCUUAACUAUGUUCUAUUUAUUUACAUAGACUUUCUUUUAUACCAUUUUACAUGUUACCUUCUCUGUUCUUUUCUAAUAUAGUGGUAAUCUUAUAAUAAUAGUAUUAAGUUUUAAGCCCCCCUGUUGUCAUUCGUUAUACUGUUGUUAAUUUUCUUUGAAUUAUAUAAUAUCUCCAUCUUUCUUAGUUGUUUUUAAAUAUUCUUAUAUUCCAUAUUUCAUUUAUGUCCACAUAAUAUCUUAGUGUUAAUCUAAAUAAUAGUCACUACAUUAUAAUUUCAUAAAAUACCAAGUCAAUUAAGUUCCUUGUUUAUAAUUCUUGGGUAAGUUUAUGUAAAUCUUAUGGAACGUAUAAUAUCACAUUAAUGGGAAUUGUAACAUACGACAAAAAUGUGACGAUGAAAAUUAUAACGCAUUAUAACGCAAGUCAUCAACAGGAUAAUAAUAGAUUUAUAUGUUAUCAUUGACUUGACUUGAUUAGCAAUAACGAAUAGAAACAGCACGUGCCUUAUACAGUGCACUGGAAUAAAUGUUACCCCCCCCCUUAUUAACUUAUUUAUUUUUAGCACAUAAGCAAAACGCUCGGAUAGGUCGAUUUUUAAAAUAAUCAUAGUAUAUUAUAGCAUCAAUGUUUCGAAAUUUACGCGAUGCCUCUUCAGGUGACAGGCAUAACUUUGAUUUUUUUUAAAUGGGACAUCAUGUGACACCUUAUUUAAAAAGCGUUUGAAAUACAGAUUACAAAAAUGUAUAAUACUUAGUUCUGGUUUGAGAGUGUAGGCGCAAAAUUUCGGUCGAAUUCUUUUAAAGGCAUUUAUUUCUUUCGAAUUCUGAGAAAACUAAUAUGUAUUUUUGAAAAAAUUAAACGCAUAAUGAACUAUUACAGUAUUGUUAAUGGUCUUAAGUCCCUGACAACUUCUAUAAUGUUUAUUUUAAUAAGUCACAGGGGUGAAAAAAAGGGAAAAUUUAGUCUGAUUUUUAAUUUCAAAUAUAUCAUUCAAAAGAAACUUUUUGUUUAUUCUAAGGGACUUUUUCCCCUCGGUAAUAUUGUUAUCUUUCAUUUUGCGUUUAAAUUUUUCAAAAAUUCUUACUAGUUUUCUCAGAAUUCGAAAGAAAUAUAUGCGUUUAAAAAGAAUUCGACGAAAAGUUUGCGCCUACGCACUCAAAAAGGAUUAAAGUAUUAUACAUUUGAUGUACUUUCAUUUUUUUUUACAUUUUGAUGAUAAAUGAGAUGUCACAUGAUGUACUUUUCCACUAAAAAAAUCCAAGUUAUGCCUGUCACCUGAAGAGGGGUCGCGUAAAGUUGGAAACAUUGAUGCUAUAAUAUACUAUGAUUAUUUUAAAAAUCGACCUGUCCGAGCGUUUUGGAUAUGUGCUAAAAAUAAAUAAGUAAAUAAGGGGGGUAACACUUAUUCCAGCGCACUGUAUACAGGGAGUUUGGUAAAGAAUGGGCCAUAGCUUAACCUCAGAUUCCUGAGCUUAAAAUAGGUCGAUUUAAGCUAACUUACUUAAGUACGAAAGUUGAUAAUAGCCGAAAUACAGGGUGUCAAAGUUAAACUUUUAUUUUAUUUAUUUUUGAAUAUUUUCUGACAGGUAUGGGAUAACAACACGAAAUUUGGUAAGCGGGGUUUUUUUGGACCGAGAAAUCAAAAUUGGCCACCAAAAAUGAUGUAUUACCCAGAGGUCGCCACAUUCGUCUUUCAGCGCUCAUCUAAGACGUUCAAUUUUUUUUAUUCCCCACUCUACAUACUUUUUAAUCAAAACUUUUAUUCUCUUAAUAUUUUUACUUAAAAAAGCUAUACUACAUUCAUCUCGCUAAACUCAAGAGUUUUCAAGAUAAACGCAGUUUAAGAUAACGCGAUGCAACAUAAUUUUUUGCAUAAUAUCAUUGUAGUUACACCCGAGAAAUAAACUAAAAACCAUAAUAAUUUCCAAAAAUGUAUCGCAAAUUCCUUUAAAUGGGGUUUGGGAUUCAAUGACAUAAAUAUGAGAAAUUGCACAAUUAUUAUGGUUUUAAGUUUAUUUUUCCGGUAUAACUACAAUGAUAUGCGAUUAUCUCGAAAACAGUUGAGUUUAACGAGAUGAAUGUAGUAUACCUUUUUUAAGUAAAAAUAUUAAGAGAAUAAAAGUUUGGAUUCAAAAAGUAUGUACACCGAGAGAAAAAAAUUCUUGACAUAAAGAAACUUUAUUUAUAUUUAAGAAAGAUCGACUUGGCAUAUUGCCUAAGAAAUAUAUUUUCGUAUGUAAUAUAUAAUUUUCUAAAAUAUUUCAAAUAAAUUUUACUAUAGCCAAAGAAAUAUAUCUUAAACAUGAUUGAACUAUCAGUUUCUGGCUAACUUCAAACCCAUUUAUCAGAAAGAAAUUAAACUUGAUGUUAAUUAAUUUUAUUAGUCAUAAAAAUAUAUUUUCUUGACAUUACAAAAUUAUUCUUUCUGAGCAAUAAUAUUUCUUAGUAAGGAAUAUUAUUAUGUUACUAUUAAUAAUUAAUAUAUUUCGCAGAUAUAAACGUAUAUUUAGAGUUAAGUUAAUAUUUCUUGAAAAUAAAGUGAUAUUAAAUACGUCGAAAUUGUGUUAUGGUAAAAUUAUUAUUUAUUAAUAAAAACAAGAUAUAAAACGUUAUUAUUACAUACAAAUAUUUUCUCCAUUCUUAAACCACUGGCUUCUACACAACAAUAAAAGGAUGGAGAGGCAAAUCCAACUUCCUCAAAUUUUCCUUCUUUUGUUAAUAGCACUUUGUAUAUCAGCAAUUCACUAAAACAAAAUCGUUAUGUAGAAAGAAUAAACUUACUUUAAUAAAAAUUUUUUUUAUAAAGAUAUAGAUAUUUAUUUUGACAAAUUUAGGAAAUACAAAAAAAACAAAUAUACGGCCCCACAUAAAAACUAUUAAUAAGUACUAAUAAUAAUCAAUCAUAUUUAGUUUAAACAUGGCAUUAUUUAACCUACAUAUCUUUGUUACUAUUUAUCUGUAUAUUUAAGUCACACAAUAAACAUUGUUUAGCUAAAACAAGAGGGAAAAUACAACCAAUGUAAAACAAUGAAGCAGACAUAAUAAUAUGUAAUUUUCUUUAUUUUUAUAAUCUAAAAGAGACAACAUACCCAAUCAUUAAGAAAUUUUAUUACGGGAAAGUAUUACUAGUUUACAUCUUAAGUCAUUUAAUACAUAUUAACUAAUUCACGGUUUUCGGCAAUAACAUUUCUUAGCCAUAAACAUAUUUCUUUUAGGAUAACUGAUUUCUUUAUCUCAAAUAAAUGAACAGACAACAUCCUGAGCGUUGCACCCGCCAUGUUUGAUAUAGCGUUGUAUUGUAUAUUUUUAUAGAAGACGAUACAUGCAAGAAACCUAUUAUAGUUGAUACAUAAGUAUACAUAUUUUUAAAAAGGUACUUACAUGUAUAAAGUUCUACCAUUUCUGGAAGGCCCCCCAGUCGGUUAAUAACUCCUUUCUUAAUAUUGUUCUGAGGCUAUAUAUUAUAUCAUUCUGUUCCAGCUUUAAAUUGUGGCUUAUUUCCCAGUUAGAAUAAUAAGCUCCUUUAUUUCAGAGUUGUCCAUCAUUAUACCUAAAAAGCAUAUAAAGUUACUAUUAUGUUUCUUUUAUAACCAUUCGGAUACGCAACAUUAUUAUUAUUACAUCUUAGAUUACUCAAUUUACUUUUAUUUAAUACCUAUAUAUGUACGUACCUUCAAAAUAUCCGUUAAUUUUUAAAGAACACCGAUAAAUCCUAAAUCCAUCUAUAUGAACAUGAACAUAUCACGCCAUCUUGACAAACACUGACGACUAAAUCAUAAAUAGUUAAUCUGCGCAAUUCUUUUGUGGAAGAAAAUCUAUUUGCAAGUAACAUUUCGGCAUUAAUGAUAAAGUUUUUAUUUUAUAACCACAGUUACUACAGAGGGUAUUUCUGAAGAAUUAUUUCUUGCGGUUUAAAAUAUUUAUUUGAUUGCAAGAAAAUUUCUUGUUCACAAAUAUAAAUAUGGAUUAACUAACAUUAUAUUUCUUAUACUUCAAAAUAUUUGUAGUUUUCAAUUUAAAAAAUAAAAACUUUAGGAUAAGAAAACUAAAUGUAACCAUUAAUGCAUUUCUUAGUAUUGAAGAAAUUAUCUGUAAGAAAUUAUUGAGUUGUGUUUAAAAAACUCGUUUUUUAUAUGUGAACCGGUAUGUUUAAUUUUUAAGAAAUGUUAACUUUUGGAUAAUGUUUGGAUAAAUAUUUUAAGGAUAUGUUAACUUUUAAAAAAUAUUGCUCAAAGAAAUCGGUGUUUUAGGAGAGAAGAAAUUGUUCUCUUGGUGUAGAGUAUGUAGUAAUUUAACGUAUUAAAUGAGCGCUGAAAGACGUAACUGGAGCCCUCUGAGUAAUACAUUAUUUUUGGUGGGAAUUUAGAUUUCUCGUCCCAAAAUACCCCCGACUACCAAAUUUCGUGUUGUUAUCCCAUGCCUGUCAGAAAAUAUUCAAGAAUAAAUAAAAUAAAAGUUUAACUUUGACACCGUGUAUUUCGGUUAUUAUCAACUUUCGUACUAAGGUAAGUUAGCUUAAAUUGACCUAUUUUAACCUCAGGAAUCUAAGGUUAAGCUAUGGCCCAUUAUUUACCAAACACCCUGUAUACGAAAGAUGAAGUAGUUUUCAAUCCUAAUAGCAAUAUUAAUAAUAUUUAAAAAUAUUAAAAUAUUACUAAAAGAUUUUUAAAUUGAAAACUUAUUGGUAAAUUUUCUUGGUAACACCUCCAAGGCUUCUAAAAUUUGCAAGCCAGAUGGAUGCUAAAGCGAAGAAGACAAGAGGGAAUUCAAAAACUUACAAUUCACGACCCGUCUGUUCAGCUGGUCAAUUCCAACAGAAAAUGGACCUAGUUACUCAAAGAAGCAACGACCAAUAUAAAAAUAAAUAUAAAAAUUCCAUUUUUAUUCAGUUGCAAUGCGAAGCCAAAACAAUCUUAUUUUUAAAUUAGAAUACGGAGCGCAGCCCAGCCCUCUGAAUCGACGAUUUUCGAUUCUUGUUGGAGUCUCAUCGGAGAGAACGUAGGCCUGCUACUCCAUAUUCCAAUUGACCAACACCGAGAGUUUAUCCCCCACACCGCAACUGUCGUGAAUGGACUAGGUGACUAGCGUCAUCUGGCAAUUGAAAGAUGAAGUAGUUUUCAAUCCUACUAGCAAUAUUAAUAAUAUUUAAAAAUAUUAAAAUAUUACUAAAAGAUUUUUAAAUUGAAAACUUAUUGGUCCAUUUUCUUGGUAACACCUCCAAGGCUUCUAAAAUUUGCAAGCCAGAUGGAUGCUGAAGUGAAGAAGACAAGAGGGAAUUCAAAAACUUACAAUUCACGACCCCGUCUGUUCAGCUGGUAAAUUCCAACAGAAAAUGGACCUAGUUCCUCAAAGAAGUAACGACCGAUAUAAAAAUAUUUUAAUAAAUUUUAUUAUAUUUUAUUAUAUAUAAUAUUAUAUAUUUUAUUCUAUUUUAUUUAAAUAUUUAUAUUGGUCGUUACUUCUUUGAGUAACUAGGUCCAUUUUCUGUUGGAAUUUAUCAGCUGAACAGACAAGGUCGUGAAUUGUAAGUUUUUGAAUUCCCUCUUGUCUUCUUCGCUUCAGCAUCCAUCUGGCUUGCAAAUUUUAGAAGCCUUGGAGGUGUCACCAAGAAAAUUUACCAAUAAGUUUUCAAUUUGAAAAUCUUUUAGUAAUAUUUUAAUAUUUUUAAAUAUUAUUGAUAUUGCUAUUAGGAUUGAAAACUACUUCAUCUUUCAGUUGCCAGAUGACGCUAGUCACCUAGUCCAUUCACGACAGUUGCGGUGUGGUGGAUAAACUCUCGGUGUUGGUCAAUUGGAGUAUGGAGUAUCAGGCCUACGUUCUCUCCGAUGAGACUCCAACAAGAGUCGAAAAUCGUCGAUUCAGAGGGCUGGACUGCGCUCCGUAUUCUAAUUGAAAAAUAAGAUUGUUUUGCCUUCGCAUUGCAACUGAAUAAAAAUGGAAUUUUUAUAUUUAUUUUCACCCUGUAUAUGUUUAAGUAUGCAUGUGACGUGACUAAGCCAAAUUGAUGAAGUCUAAUAUUUUUUUCUGAGGCGCAUCUAUUAAUGGUUUAUAUUCUUGGAAAACUAUAAACCUGAGAGAUUUAUCAUGUGACAAGUAAACGACUGCUAGGUAAAAAUAAAAGGAGAGGGCAGAAAAAUAUAAAUAAAAACAAAGCAUGCCAAGAAAAGAGAUCCAGAAACCUAAAUCAUUGCUUCACAAAAGGAAUAAAUAAGGGUCGACAUUUUAUAAAAUAUAUCUAUCUACGAGAAAUAAAAGAAUAUAAUACAUAGAGAAACUGACUAACGAAAGAAAAAAUAGAAAGACUAUAGAGUAUUUUAUAGUACCUAUGAUUAUCCCAGUAGUAGUAGUAACAAGAACAACAAGAAUAAACAAAACAUUUUUUUUUUAAUUUUUGUCAGAACAGUUUUGUCAUUAUUUAUUACUUUUAAGCAUUAUUAUGUGGUUGCUCGGCUGAAAAGCAAAAACCGCUGUCUCCGUUAGGUUCCAUUUGCUUAGGAACAGAUAUCCAUAAUUUCCAUUUUUUGCUGCUGUUUUUGCCAUCUUUCUCAUGGCUGGGUUUUCCUUCCUUGCCAGUACGUUUUCAUUUUAAUUGAAUGUUUCUCUUUUCUUUCUUGUGGCCACUUGUUAGCGGGACGCUGUGCUGGAACAGUGAGAAAGAUAAGAUUCCUAGUAUUGUUCACGUUAUCCCUGAGAUCUUGACGACACUGAAGGCCACUAGGUGAAAUUUCCGUUGCAAUUCUUUUAACUUCCUUUAUUCAUUUUGAAUAACAUGAUAAUGAUUUGUAAAAAAAUUAAUUUUUAUGAUAUAAAGACAUAACUAUGAGCCUUACAAAGUAUUGUACGUGAUUGUUUAAUUUUGUUUCAUUAAUAGCAACUAGCAACAUUUGUAUUCCUAUUUAUUUACCACUUGUAAUGUUAACUAAUUUUCUUUAUAAUGUAUAUUAGUGAUUAGUUUGCAUUAAAUUAAUACAAUAGGAUUUCUUACAUAUGCAACGUGUUAGUUAAGAGCUUAUGGUUCUACACGAUGUGAUAGCUUAACGCAAACAAAGGUGCUGUACAAGAAGUAUUAUGUAUUUAGAUUUGUAUUAUAAUGUGUCUAUAUUUUUAGGUAAAAACUUAUAUUAAGUAAAAAAUAUGUUUAUAAAGAAAAUCGGUAAAAAAAUAAUAACAAAAUAAUUAUAUUUUUACUUAAAGUCCUUUAGAAAAUAUGUUAUUUAAUAAACACAUCUUUAAAUUUUAAUUAGGUACUUAUGUAUAUUUUUUGUAAAACAAUUAUGUAAGAAAAUAAUAAAAAUGUACUAAAUGGUUUCUUAAAAUAUAAAAUGUUAAUGUUGUUCUGAAGCUAUUUCCUUGUGGCAUUUUUCUAAUCAACUAUUUUAAAUGGGAAAUUUUGCUAAAAAAAUGGUUUUAAUAACAAAAUCCACAAGGAAAAGAAAAAGUUUUCCUGUAGUUGGCUGUAUACCAUCAAUCACAAAAUUGGAAAGAAAUCCUUUGUAAAAGGUAUAAAAUUUUUUAUUAAAAAUCCCUUAAAAGGGCUACAUCACCACAAAACGUUUUCGAUUUUUACAAAAAAUCAUCAUCAGCGUUCGAUAAACUGGAUGCUAGCUGAGCCACAAAAGAAAAAUAUCUUGGUAAAAACCCUUUACAUAAAAUAUAGAUGCCUUAAAAGUGCAUACUUCAAUAAAAAGGCCUGUGAUGGUCACAUGGCAAACAGGAUAAUGCCCUAAGGUAAAGUAUACAGGUUUCCCAACACGUGGGAUCCAAAUUGAGUUGAUCACAUUUCAAUGACUUAAUGGUCUUUUUAUUGAAGUAUGCACUUUUAAGGCAUCUAUAUUUUAUGUAAAGGGUUUUUACCCAGAUAUUUUUCUUUUGUGGCUCAGCUAGCAUCCAGUUUAUCGAACACUGAUGAUGAUUUUUUAUAAAAAUCGAAAACGUUUUGUUGUGAUGUAGCCCUUUUAAGGGAUUUUUAAUAAAAAAUUUUAUACCUUUUACAAAGGAUUUCUUUCCAAUUUUGGUUUUAAUAACGUUUGUUGGAUUCGAUCAUGAUUGAUCCUUAACAAAAACUAAAACUUGUUUGAGAUCAUUAUAACAAGAAAUAUAAAUAUAGAUGCAAUAGAAAACAGUUUGUUUGACGUUUUGAGUUAUGUACAGUUCGAAAAUUGUUACAUAUCCGAAUAGAUAACAUAUUCCCAGUGCAGAAAAUAUUUUUUUAAUAUUUGCGAUAUAUUUUUAAAAUAAACUUU